ensembl:snRNA U6 U6 spliceosomal RNA
GUUUAUGAAUGGGUGUUCGCUUUGGCAGCAACGAAACAGAGAAGAUUAGCAUGGCCCCUGCACAAGGAUGACACGCAAAUUCGUGAAGCAUUCUAUAUUUAA